AUUGAACGCUGGCGGCAUGCCUAACACAUGCAAGUCGAACGGGGGUAGCAAUACCCUAGUGGCGGACGGGUGAGGAAUACGUAGGAAUUUGCCCUUAAGUGGGGGAUAACCCGGGGAAACCCGGACUAAUACCGCAUGAUCUCGUGAGAGCAAAGCAGGGGACCGCAAGGCCUUUCGCUUUUGGAGAAGCCUACGUGGGGUUAGCUAGUUGGUGGGGUAAUGGCCCACCAAGGCCACGCACCGUAACUGGUCGGAGAGGAUGAUCAGUACACACCGGAACUGAGAAACGGUCCGGACUCCUACGGGAGGCAGCAGUGGGGAAUAUUGGACAAUGGGCGAAAGCCUGAUCCAGCAAUGCCGCGUGUGUGAAGAAGGCCUUCGGGUUGUAAAGCACUUUAGGCUGGAAAGAAAAAGCUUUGGCUAAUAUCCAAAGCCUUGACGGUACCAGCAGAAUAAGCACCGGCUAACUCUGUGCCAGCCGCCGCCGUAAAAC
rnacentral:rRNA from 1 species